rnacentral:misc_RNA from 1 species
GUGAGUCAUCGAAUCUUUGAACGCACAUUGCGCCCCUUGGUAUUCCAUGGGGCAUGCCUGUUCGAGCGUCAUUUGUACCCUCAAGCUCUGCUUUUUCAGCAUCUUGGUGUUGGGUGUUUGUCCCGCCCUCGCGUGUGGACUCGCCUUAAAGUGAUUGGCAGCCGGAAUAAUUCUGGGGAACGCAGCACAACUGCAGCCUCCAUUUUACGCCGAGCGUCCAGUAAGCCUUUUUUCAACGUUUGACCUCGGAUCAGGUAGGGAUACCCGCUGAACUUAAGCAUAUCAAUAAGCGGAGGA